rnacentral:rRNA from 1 species
GAUGAACGCUAGCGGCAGGCCUAAUACAUGCAAGUCGAACGGUGUCUUCGGACAUAGUGGCGCACGGGUGCGUAACACGUAUGCAACCUACCUUACAUUGGGGGAUAGCCUUUCGAAAGGGAGAUUAAUACCGCAUAAGACAGUAGCUGGGCAUCCAGCAGCUGUUAAAGAUUUAUCGAUGUAAGAUGGGCAUGCGUCCAAUUAGUUAGUUGGCGAGGUAACGGCUCACCAAGACUUUGAUUGGUAGGGGAACUGAGAGGUCAAUCCCCCACACGGGCACUGAGAUACGGGCCAGACUCCUACGGGAGGCAGCAGUAGGGAAUAUUGGGCAAUGGACGCAAGUCUGACCCAGCCAUGCCGCGUGCAGGAUGAAGGCGUUAUGCGUUGUAAACUGCUUUUAUACAGGAAGAAACGACUCUUGCGAGAGGCAUUGACGGUACUGUAUGAAUAAGCACCGGCUAACUCCGUGCCAGCCGCCGCAGUAAGAC